rnacentral:rRNA from 1 species
UACGAAGGGGGCUAGCGUUGUUCGGAAUUACUGGGCGUAAAGCGUGCGCAGGCGGCUUCUCAAGUCAGGGGUGAAAGCCCAGAGCUCAACUCUGGAAUUGCCUUUGAGACUGAGUGGCUUGAGUACGAGAGAGGUGAGUGGAAUUCCCAGUGUAGAGGUGAAAUUCGUAGAUAUUGGGAAGAACACCGGUGGCGAAGGCGACUCACUGGCUCGUAACUGACGCUCAUGCACGACAGCGUGGGGGAUCAAACAGG